AUUGAACGCUGGCGGCAGGCCUAACACAUGCAAGUCGAACGAGUGGCGGAAGGGUGAGCAAUGUCUGGGAAACUGCCUGGGGGAGGGGGAUAACUACUGGAAACGGUAGCUAAUACCGCAUACCAGCGGAUAGGCCCAGAUGGGAUUAGCUAGUGGGUGGGGUAAAGGCUCACCUAGGCGACGAUCCCUAGCUGGUCUGAGAGGAUGACCAGUCACACUGGAACUGAGACACGGUCCAGACUCCUACGGGAGGCAGCAGUGGGGAAUAUUGCACAAUGGGCGCAAGCCUGAUGCAGCCAUGCCGCGUGUAUGAAGAAGGCCUUCGGGUUGUAAAGCACUUUCAGCGGGGAGGCGUUACCCGCAGAAGAAGCACCGGCUAACUCCGUGCCAGCAGCCGCGGUAAUUC
rnacentral:rRNA from 1 species